rfam:Oryza glumipatula chromosome 1, whole genome shotgun sequence.
AAAAAGACAAACCCUGGAUUUCCGUAUCCAACGUUUGACCGUCCGUCUUAUUUAAAAAAUUUAUGAAAAAAAUUAAAAAAGAUAAGUCACUUAUAAAAUAUUAAUCAUGUUUUAUUAUCGAACAACAAUAAAAAUACUAAUUAUAAAAAANCGAACAACAAUAAAAAUACUAAUUAUAAAAAAUUUCAUAUAAGACGAACAGUCGAACGUUGGACACGGAAACUCAGGUUUGUCUUUUUU